rnacentral:lncRNA from 10 species
GUUGGGAAGGCAUGAUUGGUUUUGAAAUGUGAGGACAUGAGAUUUGGGAAGGGUCAGGGGCAGAAUGAUGCUGUUUGGCUGUGUCCCCACCCAAAUCUCAACUUUAAUUCCCACGUGUCAUGAAAGGGACCCAGUGGGAGGUAACUGAAUCAUGGGGGCAGGUCUUUCCAACGCUGUUAUCAUCGUAAUGAAUAAGUCCACAAGAUCUGAUGAUUUUAAAAACAGGAGUCUCUCUGCACAAUCUCUCUUCUCUUGUCUGCCACCAUGUGAUAUGUGACUUUCACCUUCCGCCUGGAUUGUGAGCCCUCCCCAGCCACAUGGAACUGUGAGUCCAUUGAAUCUCUUUCUGUUAUCAAUUGCCCAGUCUCAGGAAUGUACUAAAGAGGAAGCUGGCACCAAAGGGAAGAGGACCUCAUGGAAAAACUGAUGGACACCGAAAGUAAUUCCCCAGAGAGGAUUUAAAGGAAGAGAGAAAUAUGGUAACUCGGCAAAGUAGGCUUGAUCCUUGACACUCCUUUUAGGAAAUCAAGAACUCAUUGAUAGGGGGCUGCAAGUUGAAGAAAAGACAUGUAAGCAUCCUGCACUCAUGAUACGAGUCACCAAAUCCUGAAAGCCCAUAAUCAAACAUGAUCAAAGCACAAACACCCAAAAGAACAGCUGAGUAUGUCCAGAGGAGACCUAAAUCUUCAGGAAAACAUUAAUGCACAAACUUCAAAUUCUGCACGUAGGUUUCGAGAUGGAAGUUGCCCAGAUAUCUUUUUCUUUUUCUUUGUCUAUUUAUAUGUGUACAUAUAUAUACACAUACACAUAUAUACUGUUUCUCUAUAUAUAUACAUAUACACACAUAUAUCUACACAUAUGUAUUCCAUAUACUUCAUAUUCAAUAAAUGUUGUAUGUAGUAUUUUGUAUUACUUAAAGGUAUCAAUAUAGGUUUAUGUCAAGAGUACUUACACAAUAUUGAAGCUUUUUUGGAGUUCUAUAAAAAUUUUAUAUGCUACUCACAAUAGACCAAGAAAACAACAACCUGGUAGAAUUUAUGAAAAUAUCUAUGGAAAGAUGUGCUACAAAAAUAAACAAUUAUUCUUGGUGUAUUAUAAUUGCAUUUUUCUUAACCUUGCAGCAUUUUCAUUUUCUUUAGAAUUGACUAUAUGCCUAUUACUCUCUUAGGUGCUGUAUUAAGAGAAAUAUAGGCCACAAAGGAGCACACAGAGUUAAGUUCUGCAGUCAUGAGAAAGCUUUGAGUCCUUAAUUGUUACAUGCUAGCUUAGGAGAAAAAUCCAACAUGAAAUAGGGGGG